rnacentral:rRNA from 1 species
UAAUACAGAGGGUGCAAGCGUUAAUCGGAAUUACUGGGCGUAAAGCGUGCGUAGACGGUUGCGUAAGUCAGAUGUGAAAGCCCCGGGCUCAACCUGGGAAUUGCAUUUGAGACUGCGUAGCUAGGGUGCGGAAGAGGGAAGCGGAAUUUCCGGUGUAGCGGUGAAAUGCGUAGAUAUCGGAAGGAACACCAGUGGCGAAAGCGGCUUCCUGGUCCAGCACCGACGUUCAGGCACGAAAGCGUGGGGAGCAAACAGGAUUAGAUACCCUGGUAGUCCACGCCAUAAACGAUGAGGACUAGACGUUGAGAGGGUAAGCCUCCCAGUGUCGCAGCUAACGCGAUAAGUCCUCCGCCUGGGGAGUACGGCCGCAAGGUU